AAAUCCCACCCUCUCUAAAGACUUUUUUGGCCUCUAUCUUCUUCUUUUCCCUUUUAUACAUGCGACUGCGUUUUGUUUAAUCAAAGACUAGUUACUGCUUUCUCUUCAACAACUCCCGUGCUGUCUAAGGAGCACAGUAUGUGGAGAAGAAGACACAGCAGAACUUCCAAUGGUUACCUUAUUUUGUUACUCUGUCACUUAGUUGUCCACUGUGCCAAUUCCCAGCUUCAGAAUUCAUGUGCUUCGGCUACCGACUGUGGAGCUGGUUUAUACUGUGGUAACUGCCCUGAAUUGGGAAAGAAUCAGCCCUUUUGCAUUAGAGGACAAGCUACUGAACCCACUUCUGUUAUCAGUGGAUUGCCCUUCAACAAAUACUCGUGGCUGGUGACUCAUAAUGCCUUUUCAAUUGUAAAUGCACCUUUAUUGACUGGCCCUCAGAGAAUUACAUUCUAUAAUCAAGAAGAUACUGUUACUAACCAAUUGAGAAAUGGAGUGAGGGGAUUGAUGCUGGAUAUGUACGAUUUCGAGAAUGAUAUAUGGCUCUGUCACUCGUUUCGUGGCCAAUGUUACAACUUCACUGCCUUUGAACCUGCAAUCAACACUUUGAAAGAGGUGGAAGCAUUUUUGAGUGCAAAUCCUACAGAAAUAGUCACCAUCAUAAUUGAGGAUUAUGUACAUACCCCAAAGGGUUUAACAAGGGUAUUUACUGAUGCUGGGUUGGACAAGUAUCGGUUUCCUGUUUCAAAAAUGCCCAAAAAGGGUGACGAUUGGCCCACCGUGAAUGAUAUGGUUAAAAAGAAUCAUCGUUUGUUGGUUUUUACUUCUGAUUCUUCAAAGGAAGCUGCUGAAGGAAUUGCUUAUCAGUGGAGAUACAUGGUCGAAAAUGAGCCUGGAGACCCUGGAGUGGUGCCUGGCGCAUGCUCUAGCCGCAAGGAAUCAAAGCCACUUAAUUCCAGAAGCGCCUCUCUGUUUCUAAUGAAUUACUUUCCCACAGUUGCCGUACAAAACGGGGCCUGCAAAGAGCAUUCAACUCAACUAGUUGAUACGGUUGGUGCCUGUUUCAAAGCAGCAGGCAACCUGAUGCCCAAUUAUGUGGCAGUAAACUUUUACAUGAGAAGUGAUGGAGGAGGAGUUUUUGAUGUUUUAGAUCGAAUGAACGGUCAGACACUAUGUGGUUGCCCGACGGUCACGGCAUGCCAGGCAGGAGAACGUUUUGGAGUUUGUAGGAAUAUUACUGCAGCGAAUGCAGCUCCAACAGCAACCAACGCUGCUGGAAGUUUUUCUGGGUCUGUGCAAUUAACAGGCCAUGCUUCAGCAAUCCAUUUUUCUAGAAUCAUAUACCUAUUUUCAUUGUCUUCUGUAAUCCUUUUGUAUCUAUUUUGAGAAGAAGAAAAGAGUUUCAGGCAGACGUUUCCAUCAGUUUCAUCCACGGAUGCUCGAUUUCUACUAUAUUUUCCUCUGUAGAUUUUUGGAGUCGGAAUAGGUACAGUAUACACUAGAGUCCCACUUCGGCAUGUUAGAACAAGGAACAUUCAGCUUGAAGUUUGUUCUCCUAGUCAAAAAGAACUUGUAAUUUUAUGGAGGAGUUUGACAUAGAAGUAGGCAUUGGGUUGCAGAAGAAUAUUCAACAUGUACCAGGUUAUUAUUCAGGGCAGUUCAGGUGUAGAAACUAGCGGAAUGUAUUAGUUGUGUUCAACGAAUGAUAGUGUCAAUCAUGCAAUCUUUUUCUUUCUCUUCAGAGUUUCUGCCUGCGGUGUAAUCACUAUCACAAUUAUGCAGUAGUGCCACUUUCCAGCUUUGAGAAUUGAACUAGAAUAUAAUGUACUCACAUGUUAGAUUAGACCACUAUAAUAAAUACUACAAUAAGGUUUCUCUCAUGUGACAUUAUUAUGCCCCAUUAGUGGAAUCAUUGUUUGUUUAAA